UACGAAGGGGGCUAGCGUUGCUCGGAAUCACUGGGCGUAAAGGGUGCGUAGGCGGGUCUUUAAGUCAGGGGUGAAAUCCUGGAGCUCAACUCCAGAACUGCCUUUGAUACUGAAGAUCUUGAGUUCGGGAGAGGUGAGUGGAACUGCGAGUGUAGAGGUGAAAUUUGUAGAUAUUCGCAAGAACACCAGUGGCGAAGGCGGCUCACUGGCCUGUUCUUGACGCUGAGGCGCGAAAGCUAGGGGAGCAAACGGG
rnacentral:rRNA from 1 species